UACGUAGGGUGCAAGCGUUGUCCGGAAUUAUUGGGCGUAAAGAGCUCGUAGGCGGUUCGUCGCGUCGGCUGUGAAAACCUGAGGCUCAACCUCAGGCCUGCAGUCGAUACGGGCGGACUUGAGUACUGCAGGGGAGACUGGAAUUCCUGGUGUAGCGGUGAAAUGCGCAGAUAUCAGGAGGAACACCGAUGGCGAAGGCAGGUCUCUGGGCCACUACUGACGCUGAGAAGCGAAAGCAUGGGGAGCGAACAGGA
rnacentral:rRNA from 1 species